rnacentral:rRNA from 1 species
AACGAACGCUGGCGGCAUGCCUAACACAUGCCAGUCGAACGAGACCUUCGGGUCUAGUGGCGCACGGGUGCGUAACGCGUGGGAACCUGCCCUUAGGUUCGGAAUAACUCCCCGAAAGGGGUGCUAAUACCGGAUAAUGUCUUCGGACCAAAGAUUUAUCGCCUUUGGGUGGGCCCGCGUUGGAUUAGCUUGUUGGUAGGGUAAAAGCCUACCAAGGCGACGAUCCAUAGCUGGUCUGAGAGGAUGAUCAGCCACACUGGGACUGAGACACGGCCCAGACUCCUACGGGAGGCAGCAGUGGGGAAUAUUGGACAAUGGGCGAAAGCCUGAUCCAGCAAUGCCGCGUGAGUGAUGAAGGCCUUAGGGUUGUAAAGCUCUUUUACCCGGGAUGAUAAUGACAGUACCGGGAGAAUAAGCUCCGGCUAACUCCGUG